UAAUAGAUGAUUUUCACCACAACUACGAAAAAAAAUCUUAUUCCGACCCUAAAAUCGCUUGAUUUCAUCUCAUCGAAACGUAAAAUACACAGAGGUUUCUUACUAAACCCAGCUGCUUCAAAAUUCAGCAUUCGGUGUAAAUUUCUGCAUGAAUUCCAAAAAAAAUUGCCGGCAGACUUACUGGAGGAAUGCCUAGAGAGACUCCAGAAACGAUUCUUGGAGGAAAUCCUGAAGGACGUCCUAGAAAAACUAUAGGAGGAACUACUGGAGAAAUUACUCGCGUAGAAAUUCUUUUAGAGAC